rnacentral:tRNA from 1 species
GCCUGGGUGGCUCAGUCGGUUGGGCGUCUGACUACGACUCAGGUCAUGAUCUCGCGGUCUGUGAGUUCGAGCCCCGCGUCAGGCU